rnacentral:rRNA from 1 species
CCUACGGGGUGCAGCAGUGGGGAAUAUUGCGCAAUGGGCGAAAGCCUGACGCAGCGACGCCGCGUGAGGGAUGAAGGUCUUCGGAUCGUAAACCUCUGUCAGCAGGGAAGAACGGUCACUGUGCUAAUCAGCAGUGAAUUGACGGUACCUGCAAAGGAAGCACCGGCUAACUCCGUGCCAGCAGCCGCGGUAAUACGGAGGGUGCGAGCGUUAAUCGGAAUUACUGGGCGUAAAGCGCUCGUAGGCGGUAUGUCAAGUCAAGGGGGAAAUCCCCGCGCUCAACGGGGGAACUGCCUUUGAAACUGGCAAACUGGAGUGUGUGAGAGGAUAGUGGAAUUCCAGGUGUAGGAGUGAAAUCCGUAGAUAUCUGGAGGAACAUCAGUGGCGAAGGCGACUAUCUGGCACAUAACUGACGCUGAGGAGCGAAAGCGUGGGUAGCAAACAGGAUUAGAUACCCCUGUAGUC